CCGAGAUUGGGUCCUCCGCGCUCACAUG
rnacentral:sRNA from 1 species